GUCCACGCCCUAAACGAUGUCAACUGGUUGUUGGGGGAUUUAUUCUCUUAGUAACGAAGCUAACGCGUGAAGUUGACCGCCUGGGGAGUACGGUCGCAAGAUUAAAACUCAAAGGAAUUGACGGGGGCCCGCACAAGCGGUGGAUGAUGUGGAUUAAUUCGAUGCAACGCGAAAAACCUUACCUACGCUUGACAUGUCCGAGAUCCCCGAGAGAUUGGGGAGUGCUCGAAAGAGAAUCGGAACACAGGUGCUGCAUGGCUGUCGU
rnacentral:rRNA from 1 species